rnacentral:rRNA from 1 species
CUUAUAGCUGCUGCCGGUGGACCAUUAAACUCUUGUUAUUUUAUGUAAUCUGAGCGUCUUAUUUUAAUAAGUCAAAACUUUCAACAACGGAUCUCUUGGUUCUGGCAUCGAUGAAGAACGCAGCGAAAUGCGAUAAGUAAUGUGAAUUGCAGAAUUCAGUGAAUCAUCGAAUCUUUGAACGCACAUUGCGCCCAUUAGUAUUCUAGUGGGCAUGCCUGUUCGAGCGUCAUUUCAACCCUUAAGCCUAGCUUAGUGUUGGGAAUCUACUUCUCUUAGGAGUUGUAGUUCCUGAAAUACAACGGCGGAUUUGUAGUAUCCUCUGAGCGUAGUAAUUCUUUUCUCGCUUUUGUUAGGUGCUAUAACUCCCAGCCGCUAAACCCCCAAUUUUUUGUGGUUGACCUCGGAUCAGGUAGGAAUACCCGCUGAACUUAAGCAUAUCAUUAAGCGGAGGAACUCCUC